UUUGUGAAUCUUCUCCUCUUUUUUUUCAUUCCAACUCAUCCUUUUUUUGGUCAAACAUUCCAACUCAUCCCUUUUGUGUGUUUAUUUCUUCACACUUUCAUAACCCUAUAUUCAACACGUUAAUGUCUCUGUUUAGAUUUAUAAAUAUUAACUAUUAGUUGCAUCUAUAGUAGAAACCCUAAAUUUUCGAACUCUCCAACACCAAGAAACAAAAAAAAAACUCACUCAAUGAUUUUUCCGGUUAACACCAGUUUCUCUCUAUUCCACUGCAAUAGUCGUAGAUUGUCACCGGCACGAUUGAAGACACGACCCGCAAGGUUUGUUAAUGCAUUGGAUCUUGCUCCUUUUGAAGAAUGGUCAGCUGUUUCAUAGCAACAAAUGACCGGAUCCGCCGCGAGUUUCUCCCAUCACUGUUUCAAAACUCUCCGUCUGGGAAAAACCUCACGCUGGGUCCUUUUCAUUCUCUUGGAAACACUGAAGAAUACAUCGAUGGACAAUUGACAGGAAACCUCGGAGAGAUCUUGAUCAGAUGCAACAACGUUUUGUAUGUCCGAGGUGUGUCAGAAGAUGAAGAACUGGGAGACGCUGAACAAGACUAGCCUGUGCUGGUGGGCUUAGGAAUCCCCUGUCUUGUUGUAUUCUAUGAGCAUCUUAACCCAACUUGUGAGAUUUCAGCUUUUUUAGCUGUUGUUGAAUCUUUGAUACCUUGAAACUAAAGAAAGCCACAAGCCGUUUAGUUC